AAAAAUCUCUCGUCGUCCUCCGACUAUGCUCGGGGUCCACUACCUGUAACAUAAAAAGCUGAGUGGAUCAGGCUUGGGAGCCUGGUGAGCAUAUAGGGUUUUCAACCCACAAUAAUAAUAAACUUAUUAAGUUCAUCAAUCAACAAUAACCCUGAUUACCCGUUCCCAUUAUCCUCACUUUACGUCCCUAAACACUUUUCACAAGGGACCUAGCCUAAAGAAUAUCAUCGGGAUGGACACUACUGCUAAGGGGUUUCCUCAGCCAUACAUGUCCUAAAGGCAACCAUGAGGGGGAUGGAGUACAGCGAAUGAACACUCUUAGUUCAUUAACACCUACAGGUUGCGGACCUGCUAAUGUUUCCCACUGGACUGUCUAGAAAGUCCGUGGUCGUCAUCCAAACUCCGCUAGAUGACUGGAUCUCAAAACACAUCGAGGCCUCUCAUCAAUUUUAUUUUAUCACACAUCACAAUCUACCCAUGUUCUACCCAACAUAUUUGUAGAUAAAAAUACUUAUACAGUUUAAAACUUGUAUAAAACAUCAACACAACAAUCACCUCAAAUAAAUAAUUAAUAUAUUUACACAUAGCACGUAUUAUAAGGUAAAUACUUCAUAUCUAUGUGUAAAAUGAAAGUGACUAUACACUCACAUGAUUUGAUGAUAAUCGGGCAGCAAUUCGUUUCCUAAAACGAUCGUUUCUAAUAAAACCGGGAGUUUUAUUGAGAAACCGGGCUUUGUAAAAGUCGGGCUUCGAAACCGAAAAGAUAAAUUUUCCGGGCUUCUCGGGCACUUCGUGGGGUAUUCCGGGCUUUACAAUCGAUACCGGGGCUUUGCGGGAUGUUAAUAUGAAGAAAAUAUGGGUUUAGGGGCUAAAUAUGGCAAAAUUCCAAAAAUACCCGGGAGGUCUCGCACCCUCCUAUUUAUAGGGGGAAGCUUCUGAUCGGACGGUCAGGAGUCUUCUGAUCCGACGGCUGAGAAGGCUCGCAGAGGGGGAGGCUCGCAUGAGGGCUGCGCGUGCGAAGGGCUCUCUGGCGGCUUGUGAUUGGACCGAGGUCUAGGGUCCGAAGUAGGGGGUUCGUGGCGCCUGCGAGGGUUCGGACUCAUGAGUCACUACACACGCGUCGGAUGCGAGGCUCGCCACCGAGGCUUCUACGUGUAGUCAGCGGAUUGGACCGCAGCUCGGACUCGGAAGGACAUGACACGCCUCGCCAGGUGGCUUCGUGACUCAGCAGCCUGGUGACUCAGCAGCUUCGGUGACUCAGCAGCACACGUGUCACAUGCGAGGCGAGGGUGACGUGGCAAAGUGUGACUAUGCGAAAUUUCUCGGUUUUCGCGCCAAAACUUCUAAAAUCCAUAACUUUCGCAUACGAGCUCCGUUUUUGACGUUCUUUAUAUGCACGCGUAGCUAAAAUUACGAUCUACAACUUCCGUUUAGACUUCGUCGGCUAAUUUUGACUUUAAAUUUUAUAUUAUUAUUUUUAACAGACCGGGACAGGAAAUCCGUUAAAAAUUCAUAACUUCUUCAUCCGACGUCCGUUUUCGUCAGACUUUUUACCGUUGUGCUCCUAAUGACGAGACCUUCAAUUCUCGUUUAGGUUGUGUCGGCUAAAAAUCGCUCGAUCUAAAAUUCGAGUUUUUAGCUGUCUACUGCUACGCUGAAACUUCGAAAAAUCAUAACUUCCUCAUACGAAGUCAGAUUUGGGCGUUCUUUUUAUCGAACUUCUCGGUUUAACGAAUACUACAACUUUCGUUUAGAUUACUAAGGCUAAAAAGUAGUUUAUCAAAAACUCACUUUUUACGACAUUCAGCACCGUGCCGGUUUUGUCGCGAAACUUCGACAGGUCAUAACUUCUUCGUUAUAACUCGGAUUUUGGUAUUCUUUAUAUCCCCGAAAUCCUUGUUUCGACCACUACAACUUUAUGUAAAGAUAUCGGGCUUAUCUCACACUUUAAUUUUGACGCUUAUUUUUAUUCUUAAUUAAUUAAGCCCUAAUAAUUAAGCAUAAAACACAUAAUUCACAUAAUAUUCACAUAAUUCCUUUUCAUUUCUUCAAAAUGAGUUACAAAGGUUAACCUAGACUAUCAACUCAAUAUAAAUGCCUAGGCUAGAAACACGAGUGUUACAAUUCUCUCCCCCUUAGGAUGAUUCCGUCCCCGGAAUCACAUAUCACCAAACAACUGCGGGUAGCGACUCAUCAUGUCACUCUCCGUUUCCCAAGUGAGAUUUGGUCCAUUCGUAUGUUUCCAGCGCACAAGCACUAAAUCGACCAUCUUGCGUCGUAACUUCAUAGUCUUACGGUCAACGAUUGCCUCAGGUUCUUCGAUCAACCUCUUGUUUUCAUCCAACCUUAACUCAGAAAUCGGAAUUAUGUCGGGCACAUCUCCUGUGAACUUUCUCAAAUAACACACAUGAAAGGUGUUAUGAAUACCCUCUAGUUCUUCCGGUAACUCUAGCUUGUAAGCUUGAUUCCCGAUUCUCUGAAGAACUUUAAAUGGUCCAAUAAACCUUGGACUCAACUUCCCUCUCUUACCAAAUCUUAUAAGUCCCUUCUACGGCGAGACUUUAAGUAAAACUAAAUCUCCAACUUCAAAGUUUAUCGAUUGUCUUUUCUUGUUAGCAUAACUCUUUUGUCGAUCUUGAGCAGCUAACAUCCUUUCCCUUAUCACUUUCAACUUUUCGGCAAUCUCAUGGACUAUUUCAGGUCCCAUAAACUGCUUUUCCCCAGCUUCCAGCCAACAUGAUGGCGUUCGACACUUCUCCCCAUACAAAGCGUGAUAAGGUGCCAUCUUAAUGCUUGAGUGGAAACUAUUAUUAUAGGAGAAUUCUACUAAAGGUAAGUGUUCAUCCCAGUUACCUUGGAAUUCUAGGGUACAUGCUCUCAGCAUAUCCUCCAAUGUUUGAAUCGUUCGCUCGCUCUGACCAUCGGUUUGCGGAUGGUAAGCUGUACUCAAACACAACUUGGUACCCAAUUCCUCUUGUAGACUCCUCCAAAACCUUGAGGUAAAACGGCUGUCACGAUCGGACACAAUCGUUAACGGAACACCGUGAAGCCUCACAAUUUCCUUCACGUAAGAAUUCGCAAGUUUAUCCAUAGACCAUUUCUCUUUGGCUGCUAUGAAAUGUGCACUCUUAGUGAAGCGAUCAACGACCACCCAAAUCAUGUCGUGACCGUUCCUUGUUCUGGGCAGUUUAGUCACAAAAUCCAUGGUGAUGUCUUCCCAUUUACCCAUGGGUACGGGUAAAGGUUCUAAACUCCCAUACGGUUUCUGAUGUUGUGCCUUAACCCUAGCACAAGUUACACACUCGGCCACAUACUUAGCAACAUCGAGCUUCAUCGUCGGCCACCAAUAAUAGGGUUUUAGAUCCCUAUACAUUUUCGUACUGCCGGGAUGAAUCGAGUACAUGGUCUUGUGAGCUUCUUCCAUCAGAAGAUCUCUUAUUCCGCCCGUCUUAGGUACCCAAAUCCUAUCUUGGAAUACCUUCAACCCUUGGUUGUUUGUACCGAACACUAACGUUUUGCCCAAACGUUCUUCCUUUCGGUCAUUUUUCUCUAAAGCUUCCUCUUGAGCUUUCUUUAUACUUUCCACAAUUGUCGAGACAACUUCAAUUCUCAACGCUCUUGGCCUUUUCUUUUCAAGGUUUACCUUCCGACUGAGAGCAUCAGCAACAACAUUUGCUUUACCAGGGUGGUAAAGUAUCUCACAGUCGUAGUCUUUGAGUAACUCUAGCCAGCGUCGUUGCAUCAUGUUCAAUUCCUUCUGAUUAAAGAGAUAUUGGAGACUCUUAUGAUCAGUGAAAGUUUGCAUUUAGUACCAUAAAGAUAAGGCCUCCAUAUCUAUAAGGCAACUACUACCGCUGCCAAUUCCAGAUCAUGAGUGAGGUAGUUCUUUUCAUGUUCCUUCAAUUGCCUCGAUGCAUAUGCGAUCACUUUAUCCCUUUGGGUCAGAACACAACCUAACCCAACUCCAGAUGCAUCGCUAUAAACUGCGAAGUCAUCAACUCCUUCAGGCAAUGAAAGAAUCGGUGCUUCACACAAUCUCUUCUUCAACUUCUCAAAGGCUUCCUUAUGCUUCUCAUUCCAAGCAUAAGUAGCUCCUUUGUGGGUCAAAGCUGUUAAUGGAGUAGCAAUCGAAGAAAAGCCUUGGAUAAACCUUCGGUAAUAUCCAGCUAAUCCUAAAAAGCUUCGAAUCUCCGUAGGACUUUUUGGUUGUUCCCACUUCAUUACAGCUUCAAUCUUUGCUGGGUCGACCAUUAUCCCUUCUUGGUUAACCACAUGACCUAAAAAUUGGACUUCUUGAAUCCAAAAUUCACACUUGGAGAACUUUGCAUACAGCUUCUCCUUUUUCAGGACUUCUAGCACUUCACGCAGAUGCUUUUCAUGCUCCUGCUUGCUUUUCAAAUAAAUCAAGAUAUUGUUUAUGAAUACUAUCACAGGUUUAUCUAAGAAUGGUUUACAAACCCUAUUCAUCAAAUCCAUGAAAGUUGCUGGGGCAUUGGUUAGUCCGAACGACAUAACCAAAAAUUCAUAGUGUCCAUAUAUCGUUCUAAAUGCAGUCUUUUCGAUAUCAUGCUCUCUCACCUUUAGUUGAUGGUAUCCCGACCUAAGAUCGAUCUUUGAGAAAUAGCUCGAACCUUGAAACUGGUCGAACAUGUCAUCGAUCCUUGGCAAUGGGUACUUGUUCUUUAUCGUUACUUUGUUCAGCUCUCUGUAAUCGAUGCACAUUCUCAUGCUCCCGUCUUUCUUCUUUACAAAUAACACAGGGGCUCCCCAGGGCGAUGAACUAGGUUGAAUGAAACCUUUGUCCAAUAACUCUGGAAGUUGUGUCAUAAGUUCUUUCAUCUCUGUUGGGGCUAACCGAUAUGGUGCUUUUGCUAUCGGCGUCGUUCCUGGUAACAAUUCGAUACGAAAUUCUACUUGUUGAUCAGGGGGAAAUCCGAGAAGAUCUUCGGGAAAGACUUCCGGAUAAUCACACACCACCGGAAUAUUCUACACCUCCUUCUUUUCCAUCUUAGCAUCGAUCACGAACGCUAGAUAUGAUGUACAUCCCUUGGCCAAACACUUUCUGGCUUUCAUUAGGGAAAUGAUUCCAGAAUUUACUCUGCGUUUGUCUCCAUACACCAUAAACGACUCUUUCCCUGGCAGGUUUACUUUUACUAUCUUCUUUCUACAUAGUAUUUCUGCAUCAUUGGCGCUAAGCCAAUCCAUUCCUAAAACUAUGUCGAAUCCAUUUAACUCGAUAGGCAAUAAUUCCUCGUGGAACUUAUUCCCAUCCAAGUCAAUGAGGAUGUUUUUCAUACGAUGGCUAANNNNNNNNNNNNNNNNNNNNNNNNNNNNNNNNNNNNNNNNNNNNNNNNNNNNNNNNNNNNNNNNNNNNNNNNNNNNNNNNNNNNNNNNNNNNNNNNNNNNNNNNNNNNNNNNNNNNNNNNNNNNNNNNNNNNNNNNNNNNNNNNNNNNNNNNNNNNNNNNNNNNNNNNNNNNNNNNNUGCAGCGUCAUGUCAUCUGAAAGGCUCUUUCCUUUGGCUUUGGUGGUAGAUUGGGCUUUGCGGCAUCCUUCCUCUUUGGACAGUCUUUAAGAACAUGCCCUACUUCAUGGCACUCAAAACAUAUCCUCUUGUCGGACGGACACACGUUGGCAUAAUGCCCAGUCUUUCCACAUUUGAAGCAAGUCACCUCCUCACUACAUCUCCCAGAGUGCUUUCUCUUGCACUUCUCACACCAUUUCACUUCACCUCCUCCUCCUCCAAACUUCUUGGACUUAGAAAAUUUGCUUUUCUUGUUGGAACCCGAAGUUCCUUCAAAUUUUCUCUUUUCACCAACUUCUGCCCUCUCCAGACCCUUCUCCUUGAUCUGAACCUCGACAUUCUUAGCAGCCCAUAUGGCGGCUUUCAAAGUGGUUGCUUGCUUAACCAUCGGACCAAAGUCCGCUGGUAAUCCGAGGGCAAACUUGUUGACCUUAGAGAGUUCAGUUGGAACUAGAUGAGGAACUAGCUUCAUCUUUUCCAUAAAACUAGCAGCGUAUUCAGUAACGCUCAUCUUUCCUUUCUUUAAAUUCUGAAACUCAUUGUUGAUUUCCAGAAGAUCCUGCUCAGAGCAGUACUGCAAUUUCAGUUGGACCACAAAUUCUUCCCAAGACAUCUUACUAGCUUCACCCUUGGGCAUCGAAUCAGCUAGUAACUUCCACCAGCUCAACACACCAGACUUUAACAGAGGAAUUGCAAGUGCGGUCUUUUGUUUGUUGCUGCACUCGCAACUUUCAAACAUCGUCUCCAUUUCGGAGAUCCAAUUCAUGACUUCCACCGGUGUCGGACUUCCAGAUAGACACGGCGGUUUAGAUGCCAUGAAAUCUUUGUAUUUGCAUCCGCGUCCAUCAACUCCUCCAUCCUGGUUGUUUUGUCUAACUAUCGGUGGGUUGGCUUGACCAAGAGUCCCACUGUAGUUCCCUCCUACUGAUUGCCCUUCAUUCAAUACGGGCUGUUCAACAGGCAUCGUAGUCUCUUCCCUAUGUUGUUGUAGUAAUCGCCUUGUCUCCUCCAUUUGGCGAUCUAACAUCAUUUGCAUCAUUGCUUGUACCCCAGCCAUCGUCAUUGGCUCAGGUGCAGCUCCUACAACAGGUACUUGCUCAACUACUUGAGGUUGAGGCUGUUGAUCCCUGUUUCCGUUUGCAUUUGCAGCUCCACUACGAGUUAUGGCCAUUACAAUCUAUAUAACGAAUAAGGCGAAUUUAGGUCUUUAUCCUUGUUAGACAUGUCAAUUCCCUUAUCACUCCGAAACGUUUACAUGUUAGUUCUAAUCUCGUAAUCAUACGCUUAGAAUCCUACACACAUAAGGUUUCCAGAUCCGGUCGGCAACAGACCAUAGAUCCGAACAAAUAAUGGCACACAUGGCAAACACAUAGCAUUUAGCACAUAAGGGCAUUUUAGGCAUCUUCCCUAAAAUAAACUAGUGCUCGUGUCUAAAAUAUGGUAGACACUCAUCUCACAAUCAUCACUUAGCAUUCUAAGUUCAAGUCUAGAAAUUCUACAAUUUCUUAGUUCGCUUAAACUAAUGCUCUGAUACCAACUGUGACAUCCCCUAAUUUCUCGGCCAGAAAAGACCGAUUUAAUUUAUGCUUUUUAAAAUAAAAUCAGAGAAAUCUUUUUAAAAGAUGUUGCGGAAUUGGUCCCCAAACAAAAUAUGAUAAAAGUUUAUCAAAACCCUUCAUUAAGAAGGUAUAUGUUUUCCAUAUAUAUAUCAAAACCUCGGGAUGUCAUGUUCCGAUACAGAUCAAAAGCAUAAACAAGACAUUAUAAGCCUUUCAACAGUUAUUUACAACUACUGGCCUAUAAUCCAAAAAUCUCUCGUCGUCCUCCGACUAUGCUCGGGGUCCACUACCUGUAACAUAAAAAGCUGAGUGGGUCAGGCUUGGGAGCCUGGUGAGCAUAUAGGGUUUUCAACCCACAAUAAUAAUAAACUUACUAAGUUCAUCAAUCAACAAUAACCCUGAUUACCCGUUCCCGUUAUCCUCACUUUAUGUCCCUAAACACUUGUCACAAGGGACCUAGCCUAAAGAAUAUCAUCGGGAUGGACACUACUGCUAAGGGGUUUCCUCAGCCAUACAUGUCCUAAAGGCAACCAUGAGGGGGAUGGAGUACAGCGAAUGAAC
rnacentral:lncRNA from 1 species